GUCUCCCCCGGGAAGGCUCGAACUUCCGAUCUCCCGAUUGUCUAUUUAAUAACAGUCGGACGCUUUAGCCAACUAAGCCACAGGGGAA
rnacentral:tRNA from 1 species